rnacentral:rRNA from 1 species
AAUCAACGCUGGCGGCGCGCUUAACACAUGCAAGUCGAACGAGAAAGCCGGAGCAAUCUGGUGAGUAAAGUGGCGUACGGGUGAGUAACACGUGGGUAAUCUACCUCUUAGUGUGGAAUAACCCUGGGAAACCGGGGCUAAUACCGCAUAAGCUCGAGAGAGGAAAGCAGCAAUGCGCUGAGAGAGGAGCCCGCGGCCGAUUAGCUAGUUGGUGAGGUAAAAGCCCACCAAGGCAUAGAUCGGUAGCCGGCCUGAGAGGGCACACGGCCACACUGGCACUGAAACACGGGCCAGACUCCUACGGGAGGCAGCAGUGGGGAAUCUUGCACAAUGGGGCAACCCUGAUGCAGCGACGCCGCGUGAGCGAUGAAGCCCUUCGGGGUGUAAAGCUCUUUCGGCAGGGAAGAUUAUGACGGUACCUGCAUAAGCAGCUGCGGCUAACUACGUGCCAGCAGCCGCGGUAAUACGUAGGCAGCGAGCGUUGUUCGGAGUUACUGGGC